rnacentral:rRNA from 1 species
CCGUGUGAGGUAAUUAGAAAACUACAGGUCUAGAGAGUGGUAGAGGUAAAUGGAAUUCCAAGUGGAGCGGUGAAAUGCGUAGAGAUUUGGAGGAACACCAGUGGCGAAGGCGGUUUACUGGGCCACAUCUGACGCUGAUGUACGAAAGCGUGGGGAGCAAACAGGAUUAGAUACCCUGGUAGUCCACGCCGUAAACGAUGAGUGCUAAGUAUCGGAGGAAUCGGUGCUCAAGCUAACGCAGUAAGCACUCCGCCUGGGGAGUACGGUCGCAAGACUGAAACUCAAAGGAAUUGACGGGGACUCGCACAAGCGGUGGAGCAUGCGGUUUAAUUCGAUGCAACGCGAAGAACCUUACCAGGUCUUGACAGUGUAAAGAAUACUUAAGAGAUUAAGGGCUAAGAAUUAAGCUUGCUUAUUUCACUUUAUAAACAGGUGGUGCAUGGUUGUCGUCAGCUCGUGUCGUGAGAUGUUGGGUUAAGUCCCGCAACGAGCGCAACCCUUAUUGCUAGUUGCCAUCAUUAAGUUGGGCACUCUAGCAAGACUGCCGGUGACAAAUCGGAUGAAGGUGGGGAUGACGUCAAAUCAUCAUGCCCCUUAUGACCUGGGCUACACGCGUGCUACAAUGGCUAAUACAAAGAGUUGCAAAACCGUGAGGUAGAGCUAAUCUCAUAAAGUUAGUCUCAGUUCGGAUUGUAGUCUGCAACUCGACUACAUGAAGUUGGAAUCGCUAGUAAUCGUAAAUCAGAAUGUUACGGUGAAUACGUUCUCGAGUCUUGUACACACCGCCCGUCACACCAUGAAAGUUUAUAAUACCCGAAGCUGGUGGCCUAACCGUAAGGAGGGAGCCAUCGAAGGUAGGAUAGAUGAUUGGGGUGAAGUCGUAACAAGGUAACCGUA